rnacentral:rRNA from 1 species
GAUGAACGCUAGCGACAGGCUUAACACAUGCAAGUCGAGGGGCAACGGAGUUGUAGCUUGCUAUAACUGCCGGCGACCGGCGCACGGGUGAGUAACACGUAUGCAACCUGCCCGUUGCAGGGGGAUAAGCGGAAGAAAUUCCGUCUAAUACCGCGUAAUAUGGAUAAGAGGCAUCUCUAAUUCAUUAAAGAUUUAUCGGCAACGGAUGGGCAUGCGGUGCAUUAGCUAGUUGGGGGGGUAACGGCCCACCAAGGCGACGAUGCAUAGGGGUUCUGAGAGGAAGGUCCCCCACACUGGUACUGAGACACGGCCCAAACUCCUACGGGAGGCAGCAGUUAGGAAUAUUGGACAAUGGGGGCAACCCUGAUCCAGCCAUGCCGCGUGAGUGAAGAAGGCCUUCGGGUUGUAAACUUCUUUUACCAGGGACGAAUAAUGACGGUACCUGGAGAAAAAGCAACGGCUAACUACGUG